ACAAAGAAAACAAAACAAACAAGACCAGUCUCUGAUUUUGCCCUACUUUAGCCGAGAGAGAGAGUAGACAGAGCUGAGAGGAAAGAUUUGUGUUCUGCUCCAACCUUCCAUCCGAGAGAAGCUUGAGAGAAAAUAAAGAAAUUUUUCUUGUUUUGCUUCUACUUCAGCCAAGAGCAACGAGAGAGAGAAAACUGAAAGGAAGCUUGUGUCUUACUUCCAUUUCCAGCUUGCUUGAUCGAGUAGAAGGACCAAAACAGAGGAGUUAACUUCUAGCUUGUUUUCAAGGUAACAUGACUUGGAACUUCAAUUUCUUUCACAUACUUUAGAGGGCUUUUGAUGUAUGUUUGGUUGAGGUUGGAUUGAAGUAGAAACAGGUUGUAGAGACUUAUUUUUUUUGCUGGAAAUUUUCCAGCUUGGAUUGAACUAGGAAUGACCUUUUGUUUUCUAGAUUUUGGCUCUUGUUUUGCUGCAAGUUGCUAGGGAAUCCUUGAAUCCCUUUUGGCAGAUGAAGCUUGGUGUAAAUAUAGCAUCCAUGUGAGCUGGUGGUUGCUAAAAUGAAAUUUCCAGAUUUGACCGAGGAACAAACAUGAGCUCAAUUUACAGCUUUUUAGUGUGAAUUUUUUUAGGAGUUUCCACUAGGAAUUCAUGCUAUAAGUGUUGUAUUUCUUGUUUAGUAUGAUAUACAGCAUGUUGUCUCUGAUUUUGGUAGCAAAUUGGUGGCUUACGUGUGAGAAAAUUGGCAGCAACAAAGUUGAAUAACUCCUGUGAAACCAAUGGAGUGAAGCUGCAAGUUUGGUCCCUUUCUCCCCAGAAAUCUUGCUGCAAUUUAUUUAAAUGGCUUGUUUGAUCAAGGGGGCAAUCCAGGAGGAAACUUUUGAUGCUAGUUUUGCUUGAACUAGUGAGUGUUCCAACUGCAAGUUCCAUGUUACUUGUUGCACCAAUAUGACUUGUAAAUGACUUGUUAAUUGAAUUGACUUAUUAUUACAUAGGUGAGUGUGUACUUUAUCACACUCGACCUAACUUGACUGAAUUCUUAUUUUACUACUAUAAGUGAAUUGUUUACAAGUGAACUGAGAUUCAUGUGCAUGAAUUGAAAGUAACGGUCUGGAUCCUAAACCCCAUAGGCUAGUUAAUCGAGUCGAGUCGGCAAGGGUCUGGUCGAUUAGAUAACGAACCCUGGGUCUGCUAUUUUGUCGAGUGGAGUGUUAUCUUCUCGACUAAUUGGUAUACUCGAGUAUUACCACCACUGUUUAUGUUUGGAGUUCGGGCCCGGUAGGGGGUUGAUUGGUGGAUGGAGAUUGGAGUUAAGUGGUGAUCUACUGGAUUUGUUAUGAUUCCAUGGUUGACGGAGUGUCAACAGAUUCUGAACAAGCUAUCACGGAACAUGUUCCCGAGAACAGACUGUAUCCUUUUAUAUGCAUGUGUUAUUGGCUGUACAUGGUUAAAUGAGUUGUUUGGAUGUUAUGUUCUUUAUGAAAAAUGUGAUCAUGCUAUCAUGUGAAUGCUAAAAUGCCUAAUUGCUUGUUAUUCUCUUGGAACCUCAUUGAGCUUUUAGCUCAUCCCUUCAUUUGUUUUCCUUAACAGGGUACGGGGAUGACAAGGACAAGAUUAGUGCUAGUUGUAAUAGAAAAUCUUAAUCUUGUAUUUGGACGACAUUGUAUUAUGGUAUUAGUUUACAAGUUCUUAUCUUUUGGUUUAUAUUUUGAUUUGCAUAUUCGAAUGAUUGGUAGCAUGUAGAUGUUAUAUUGAAGAGUUUUAGCGUUAUUGAUUUGCUAUCCAAAGAAUAAGAAAUUCAAAAACUAUAGUUCUUAUUUUAAGUAA